UUUAAGGGGAUGCGCGAGCUUGCUGGGCAAGCUUCCUCAGUACCCCUCCCCCUGAAAUUUUGAACCAGAGAGCGCGAGAAAGAGAAUGAGAUCGAGAGAGAGUUUGAUCGAGCAUUUGAAAAAGGGAGAUCGUGGGAGAGUGCUGGCCGAGGCAUCGCGAGAUUGAGAGAUCGAGAUCGAGAGAGAUGAGGGCGGCUGGUCGCUGGCUGGUUUAAGGCGGCCAUUGCUGAUGCUACCGAAGCAGCUGUGUUAUGAAGCUGCAACAAUGGCGACUGAGGGCGGUAGCGUUUGAUGGCGGCGGAAGGCGGAAGCGGCCGAAGCUGGCCGAGUUGAGGCCGAUGAAGGCCGAAGGCAGCAAAGGCGAGCGGCCAUGGCAGCAGUUUCGCUGCUGUUCCAGUUGCUGGUUAGCGGCAGGGGAUGCACGGAAGAGGCUGUGGCAGUCGCAAGGGCUCGAGAAAGCAUCUGAGAUGGCCGGAGGCGCGGCCAUUGCUGCGCGAAGCUGCUGUUACAGCAGCUAGGCGCGGCCAUGGCAGCGCACAGCAGCUGCAAAUGGCGAGCAAAGGCAGCGGCUGGGGCACUCGAGGAGGCCGGUCAGGGGCAGCACGGUGCGGCUGGUGGUGGCCACCGAGGGCGGUGCUGCGAACGGUGGCUGGCGCGAGGCCAGGCGGCGGCUGGUGGGCGGUCGUGCGCAGCAGCUGACGCGGCCCUGUAUGUGCACGGGGAAGAAGCAGACGCGGAGAGGAGAAAUGGAGGAGAAGAUGAACAGUGAAGAAGAAAUAAAAAAAAAAAAAAAGAAAUGAAAAUAUGGAAAAAAUGGCAAAAAUUGGGAAAAAUAGCUGAAAAAUCCAGAAAAAUUGGGAGAAAGUCCUGGAAAUUAAUUUGGGACUCGAGGAGUGGGCCAGAGGUUCGGUAUAUGAAUCCGAGGGCUUUAUGGCGGUCCAAUAAGCGAUGCCAAUGUGGGCGAUAAGCCAAUUUUCUCUUCCAGACUAAUUGAGGUUCGACCGGGAAGGCGAUAAUCCUAGAAGAGCUCGGAGUUCGAGCUGGCGUUCUCGCCGAGGCAGAGAUAAGGCUUCGAGCCAGAUGAUGCAAGUCCGGAUGCAAACAGGGAUGGCGCCGGGAGGCCGUUGUGGCAACUAGCUGAGUUGCUCGAGUUAUGUAUUUUUAAUACUGCUUGUAUGUAGCCAGAGGGCGUGGUGUAUGUAUACCAUUGUGAGUAAAUGUCUGUGUUUUGAGCUUAAAUGUAUUUAAUUGUGUAAUCAUCAUAGUGUGAUAGAUGAUUGUGAGAUUGCUUGUUGAAUGUGGCAUAGUCGGUAAAGCCAAGUUUCGGACCGAGUCAAGAUCAGCAAGGUAUGUUCUCAUAAAUCCCUAAUACUCAGCGAAGUGUUUGUAUGCUAGCCUUGUGCCUGGGUCACCUCUGGCUUGCUAUGGGGUGAGCUGAAGAGAGGUGAAGUUCACUCGGGUUUCGGGUCUUGGUCCGCUGGAUUUUUUUCUUAUUUGAGUUGGGACCGAUUCCUGAGUGGAGCGAAGGGAAUGACGAAGCCUAGUUCCCACCUAGGGCGUUUCCUGUUGAAACAUAGUCCAACCCUUCAGUUGAGGUUGUCGGGUGAGUAAUCUGGUCGAUUAUUUACUGGUGGCGCCCGUAAGUGGGAGCGGGUCGUUACAGUUGGUAUUAGAGCAUGGCUAGCUAUAUAAGUGAGGAAGGCUAGUGUGCUUGGGUGUUAAGUAUGGUCGGUUAAGUGAUUAAUGUGAGUAAUUGCCAGAGUUUUGGAUUAGAGGAUGUCUUGCAUGAUUUGGAUUUAAGUCGGAAUGUCCUAGUUGCUGAGUUGGGGUCGAGAAUAAUUGAUUUGAAAUUUUGAGAUUUCAAUGUAAGGUUGGUCCGAUAACCUUGAAAGUUGGACAUGUGGACCAAGGACCCUAAGGGAUUGGGUUAGGUCAUUGAGACCUGCAAUGGUAUGUUUGGAUAUUCCUGUCCUAGGGAUGAGAAAAUACCCUGGAUUGAGAUGAUAUACUUGUGAGAGGUAUACGGGUUGAGCAAAGAAGAACCGGAAAACCAAGUGUGGGUGUUGGUGUCAAGAAACCCUGAAUAUUGGAAUUCGGGUGUAUGGUGUAGUGUUUUAAGGAUGGGAAUUCCUUGAGAUUGAAGUAGUGGGGCUUGUGUGGGGACACGAAGCCAAAGCAUGACUAGUCCGGGAGGGGAUUAGUAGAGUGUCCCUGUGUUAAGGAUUUACCGAGCAUGUUCGAGGGAAUAGAGUUGUCCCUUGGAAGUGGUGCAGUAAGGCGUGUGCGCUUGAGAUAGAGUGAGCUAAAGUGAAAGUUAGCUCGGGACUCAAGGAGAUGAGACGUCAAUGAGACUCUAUGGAGAGUGUGCCUGUAAGGCAUCUGUAUGUCAUGGCCAAUGACGACAUGAAGUAAGUAGCAUCCGAAAGGACUCUGAGGGGAGUCAGGAUGCUAGAUGUAUGUGAUGCGAUGUGAUCGUAUUGUUAUUAUGAUCCCAGUAGGGAUGUGCCUAGGGUAUGAGUGGACCUUAGUUGGCUUCUUGAUGAGACGAGGUCUAUCCUUGGGAAUGAUAGGCGUGUGGCAAGUGGACCCUAGUGGGUGUUUGCACGAGAUGGAAGUCCUAAGUGAGUUGAGCUGGAAUCUAGGGGAAUCCAGAUUGGGUAUUAAAGAGUGGGUCAUGUGUUGAUAUGAGCGUGAGAGCCAUUGGGUUAGAAGUCCUGGUUGAGUAAGGCCAAGUGACCGUUCAUGCGAUCGAUGGAUGAGGGGCCAAUCAAAACUCUCAUUAUGACGCUUGGGGUCUAGUGGGACGCCUAAGGUCGGGAGAUGAGAGGUGAAUAGACCCUCAUUAUGAUGCAUGGGGUCGUGAUGACGCCUAAGGUCUCGAGACCCUUGAUGGGAGACGUGGAGGUCACCCAAUGAAGGGUAUGAGCGGUGUGUGGGCCGAGGUUAGUGAACUGUGGCAACAGGACAUCCAUAGGCUAUGCGCGCAAUGGAAAUGCCAACUUCAGAUGUCGAGUGGGCAGGGGCAUGGUGAGCAAUGUGGAGGCCGAGGGAGCUUUGGCUCGAUUGUUGUGGGAGCUUUGGGUUUAGGAUAUGCUAGCCAGUUCAUAGCUGUAUUCAGGUUGUUACGGAACCUUGGGUGUCAGUCCAUGUCCUAUGUGUGGGCCAUCGGUUCAUUAUUUGUGCAUUGUUGCAUGCAUUAUUGUGUAGCUUGAGUUGUGGUUCAUGGCACAGUUUGUGUGCGAAAUGCGGGCAAGGUAGUCUUUAGCCUUGUAGCCUUUUUUGUUUUGUUAUGCUUGUUGAGUCUUGUGAUUUACU